rnacentral:rRNA from 1 species
UACGUAGGGGGCUAGCGUUGUCCGGAUUUACUGGGCGUAAAGGGCGCGUAGGCGGUCAGUUCAGGUCAGUUGUGAAAUCUCCGGGCUUAACCCGGAAAGGUCAACUGAUACUGUGCGACUAGAGUGCGGAAGGGGCAACUGGAAUUCUUGGUGUAGCGGUGAAAUGCGUAGAUAUCAAGAGGAACACCUGCGGCGAAGGCGGAUCUCUGGGCCAUUACUGACGCUGAGGAGCGAAAGCGUGGGGAGCGAACAGG